CGGACGGGUGAGUAACGCGUGAGAAUCUGCCCUCAGGAGGGGGAUAACGGUUGGAAACGGCUGCUAAUACCCCAUAUGCCGCGAGGUGAAAUGAAUUUCGCCUGAGGAUGAGCUCGCGUCUGAUUAGCUAGUUGGUGAGGUAAUGGCUCACCAAGGCAUCGAUCAGUAGCUGGUCUGAGAGGAUGAUCAGCCACACUGGGACUGAGACACGGCCAGACUCCUACGGGAGGCAGCAGUGGGGAAUUUUCCGCAAUGGGCGAAAGCCUGACGGAGCAACGCCGCGUGAGGGAUGAAGGCCUCUGGGCUGUAAACCUCUUUUAUCAAGGAAGAAGAUCUGACGGUACUUGAUGAAUAAGCCACGGCUAAUUCCGUGCCAGCAGCCGCGGUAAUACGGGAGUGGCAAGCGUUAUCCGGAAUUAUUGGGCGUAAAGCGUCCACAGGCGGCCCUUCAAGUCUGCUGUUAAAAAGUGGAGCUUAACUCCAUCAUGGCAGUGGAAACUGUUGGGCUUGAGUGUGGUAGGGGCAGAGGGAAUUCCCGGUGUAGCGGUGAAAUGCGUAGAUAUCGGGAAGAACACCAGUGGCGAAGGCGCUCUGCUGGGCCAUUACUGACGCUCAUGGACGAAAGCCAGGGGAGCGAAUGGGAUUAGAUACCCCAGUAGUC
rnacentral:rRNA from 1 species